AAGCAAUUUGCUCAUAGCCAUAGCUUUCUUGUGAAAGUAGGAUAUUAACCCAGGUGUCUUGGUGCUGGAGAACAGAACUGGCCAGAGUCCAUCCUGUCUCCCACCGGCAUCCCAUUACGAAAUGAACACAGAAAAGGCAGGUCUGCAAUGCCAACAUCUAGUAUCUAUCCCAAAGACCAGGGAGAAAGGAAGGAAAGAUUCUGGUUCUGUCCUCUUCCCCAAGGCAAGGCUGGCUGCCCUACCAACAGAGGCAAAGAGAAGAGUGUGCAAGGCUGGCUGCCCUCCCAACAGAGGCAAAGAGGAGUGUGUGUUGAAAUAUCCAUUGAAUCCCUGAGACAACUGGAUCCUGGCCCAUUGAAUCAUAAACUCAGCAGAAUCUCACAUCAUAACCCCAAAUGACCUGUUACUCACCAUGUGGCCCAGCUGUCUUCAAACUCACCAGCCUCCUGCCUUAGCCUUCUAAAUGCUUGGAUUACAGGCAUGACCCACCAUAACUGGCUUUGUUUUAGUUUCAGAGAAGAUGAAACUGAUGUGCGUCAAAAAGCUGGUAGUCUGUCAAGGAAAUGAGCUGAACAUGUCUGUGUACAGCUUUUGUGCCAUCCCUGGAUGAGCGAGCUGUCUGCCUCUAUGUUCUCCACAAAAUGGAAUAUAGCUGUACACCCAAGCCAAGUUAUGGAGGCUGGGAAGACCUAGAAUGUGGCAUCACUAUUUGCUGAAAUUUUUAAUAUAAUGCCUCUUAGCCUGGUUUGGAGAAAACGUCACAGAGAGGCACCAUUUGUUGUGGUUUUACAUGAAAAUUUUCUGACCCUGAACCUGGUUUGAUGGAAAUCAUUUGCUGAGGAAACCAUGCCGAUUACCGACCGAGCUCUCAAUGGAAAAAUGCAGUCGGCGUGAACCACGCACGAACACAGCAGAGAAAGAAGAAAACACACACCACGAGGAACCCUAAUAGGACAAUACAUUAUAAGUCACAGUGCUACGGAGAAACCCAGUAGCCACAUGGAAGCAGAGACCAUGCAUAUGCAUCUACUCCGCAGCUCUGUGAAUGUCAGCAGCUCCCACGGACUGGAGAUCCCGUGAGAUCCCGUGAGAUCUCACCCAUAGCCUCAUGGUACAUCCACUUGGUGUGCUGGGAGAGUCAGGAUGAGGACCUGAGAAGAACAGCAGCUUGAACCUGACUUCAUUUAACAGCCCACUGCCCUCUUGCCAAGAACCCAUCACAGACCUUCCCAGAAGAGAGGGAUGAGCCUCACCUAUGAAUAAGUCCUCAGAAACUCAAAUUUGAUUCUAAUGGAUUGUUUUCUCAGAAAGACUGAGCAUGUCCCCCCACAUCUCUGUCAUUUCCCACAGUAGUAACCUCUGCAGAUGCCACAUAGAAAACAAAACAAAACAAAAAAACAUGAGGUUGGUGGGCAGAUAGGCAGGGUAUAAACAAACAGCCUUGUAACCCAGAAGCUGUGUGAUAUACAGUAAACUUCACAACACUGAAAAGAUGUCCUAUCUGUUAAAAUGGGGUAAUAACAACUACCCGAAUGUUUAGGAAUAGAACUUCAAUAAAUGAUACAUUUUAUAGUACAGCAGACCAUCCUGUAAAGGUUUCAUCCUUCACUGUGGUGAUAAAUAUCCCAAACCACAUUGAAAAGCAUUGCAUCUACAUUUAUCUACACUGUAACUGUACUGUAAAUCAUGGGGGAGGGGAGAAUCAUAAAAACACCACCUGUCACCGUGUCAUUAAAGCAAGUUGGAAGUGAUACUUACAGAAACACAGCAAGAGCACCCCCAGUCACACAGUUCAAUCUCUUAGCAAGCGUUUUCUUUCUAGCCCAGUGGUUCUCAGUUUGGAAUUUUUGGCACUGCCUAGAGAUAGUUUUGUUGUUAAAACUGAGAAAAGAGCCGGGCGUGGUGGCACACGCCUUUAAUCCCAGCACUCAGGAGGCAGAGGCAGG
rnacentral:lncRNA from 1 species